rnacentral:rRNA from 1 species
AGAGUUUGAUUCUGGCUCAGAACGAACGCUGGCGGCAGGCUUAACACAUGCAAGUCGAACGAUAUAGUGGCAGACGGGUGAGUAACGCGUGGAAACGUGCCUUUCACUACGGAAUAGCUUUUGGAAACGAAAGGUAAUACCGUAUACGCCCUCCGGGGGAAAGAUUUAUCGGUGAAAGAUCGGUCCGCGUUAGAUUAGCUAGUUGGUGAGGUAAGAGCUCACCAAGGCGACGAUCUAUAGCUGGUCUGAGAGGAUGAUCAGCCACACUGGGACUGAGACACGGCCCAGACUCCUACGGCAGGCAGCAGUGGGGAAUAUUGCACAAUGGGCGCAAGCCUGAUGCAGCCAUGCCGCGUGAAUGAUGAAGGCCUUAGGGUUGUAAAAUUCUUUCGCUAGGGAUGAUAAUGACAGUACCUAGUAAAGAAGCCCCGGCUAACUUCGUGCCAGCAGCCGCGGUAAUACGAAGGGGGCUAGCGUUGUUCGGAAUUACUGGGCGUAAAGCGCACGUAGGCGGACUUUUAAGUCAGAUGUGAAAUCCCAAGGCUCAACCUUGGAACUGCAUUUGAAACUGGGAGUCUAGAGAUCAGGAGAGGUUAGUGGAAUACCGAGUGUAGAGGUGAAAUUCGUAGAUAUUCGGUGGAACACCAGUGGCGAAGGCGACUAACUGGACUGAUACUGACGCUGAGGUGCGAAAGUGUGGGGAGCAAACAGGAUUAGAUACCCUGGUAGUCCACACCGUAAACGAUGAGAGCUAGUUGUCUGCAGGCAUGCCUGUAGGUGACGCAGCUAACGCAUUAAGCUCUCCGCCUGGGGAGUACGGCCGCAAGGUUAAAACUCAAAGAAAUUGACGGGGGCCCGCACAAGCGGUGGAGCAUGUGGUUUAAUUCGAAGCAACGCGCAGAACCUUACCUACGCUUGACAUGCCUGGACGACUCCGAGAGAUCGGUUUCUCCCUUCGGGGCCGGUGCACAGGUGCUGCAUGGCUGUCGUCAGCUCGUGUCGUGAGAUGUUGGGUUAAGUCCCGCAACGAGCGCAACCCUCAUCCUUAGUUGCCAUCACGUUUGGGUGGGCACUCUAGGGAAACUGCCGGUGCUAAGCCGGAGGAAGGCGGGGAUGACGUCAAGUCCUCAUGGCCCUUACGCGUAGGGCUACACACGUGCUACAAUGGCAGUGACAAUGGGAUAAUCCCCAAAAGCUGUCUCAGUUCGGAUUGUCGGCUGCAACUCGCCGGCAUGAAGUUGGAAUCGCUAGUAAUCGUGGAUCAGCAUGCCACGGUGAAUACGUUCCCGGGCCUUGUACACACCGCCCGUCACACCAUGGGAGUUGGAUCUACCCGAAGAUUGUGAGCUAACUUCGGAGGCAGCAAGCCACGGUAGGUUCAGCGACUGGGGUGAAGUCGUAACAAGGUA